rnacentral:rRNA from 1 species
ACGUAGGGGGCAAGCGUUGUCCGGAAUUACUGGGCGUAAAGCGCACGCAGGCUGAAUUAUAAGUCGGUAGUCAAAGGCGGAGGCUCAACUUCCGAUUAGCUAUCGAAACUGUAAAUCUAGAGUAUGUGAGAGGGUAGUGGAAUUCCAGGUGUAGCGGUGAAAUGCGUAGAUAUCGGGAGGAACACCAGUGGCGAAGGCGGCUUCCUGGCACAGUACUGACGCUCAGGUGCGAAAGCGAGGGUAGCAAACGG